rnacentral:tRNA from 1 species
UCCCUGGUGUCUCAGACGGUAAAGCGUCUGCCUGCAAUGCGGGAGACCCGGGUUCGAUUCCUGGGUUGGGAA